UACAGAGGGUGCGAGCGUUGUCCGGAAUCACUGGGCGUAAAGGGCGCGUAGGUGGUGGCUUAAGCGUGCGGUGAAAGCUCGGGGCUCAACCCCGAGUCGGCCGUGCGAACUGGGCUCACUGGAGCAUAGUAGAGGCAGGUGGAAUUCCGGGUGUAGCGGUGGAAUGCGUAGAGAUCCGGAAGAACACCGGUGGCGAAGGCGGCGAUCUGGGUAGAUACUGACGCUGAGGUGCGAAAGCGUGGGGAGCAAACAGG
rnacentral:rRNA from 1 species